rnacentral:rRNA from 1 species
UAUCUGAACCUUCGGGGAACGAUAACGGCGUCGAGCGGCGGACGGGUGAGUAAUGCCUAGGAAAUUGCCCUGAUGUGGGGGAUAACCAUUGGAAACGAUGGCUAAUACCGCAUGAUGCCUACGGGCCAAAGAGGGGGACCUUCGGGCCUCUCGCGUCAGGAUAUGCCUAGGUGGGAUUAGCUAGUUGGUGAGGUAAGGGCUCACCAAGGCAACGAUCCCUAGCUGGUCUGAGAGGAUGAUCAGCCACACUGGAACUGAGACACGGUCCAGACUCCUACGGGAGGCAGCAGUGGGGAAUAUUGCACAAUGGGCGCAAGCCUGAUGCAGCCAUGCCGCGUGUAUGAAGAAGGCCUUCGGGUUGUAAAGUACUUUCAGUCGUGAGGAAGGCGUUGUCGUUAAUAGCGGCAUUGUUUGACGUUAGCGACAGAAGAAGCACCGGCUAACUCCGUGCCAGCAGCCGCGGUAAUACGGAGGGUGCGAGCGUUAAUCGGAAUUACUGGGCGUAAAGCGCAUGCAGGUGGUUUGUUAAGUCAGAUGUGAAAGCCCGGGGCUCAACCUCGGAAUAGCAUUUGAAACUGGCAGACUAGAGUACUGUAGAGGGGGGUAGAAUUUCAGGUGUAGCGGUGAAAUGCGUAGAGAUCUGAAGGAAUACCGGUGGCGAAGGCGGCCCCCUGGAUUGAUACUGACACUCAGAUGCCAGAGCGUGGGGAGCAAACUCGGAUUAGAUACCCUGGUAGUCCACGCCGUAAACGAUGUCUACUUGGAAGUUGUGGCCUUGAGCCGCGGUUCUCGGAGCUAACGCGUUAAAUAGACCGCCUGAGGGAUUUACGGUCGCAAGAUUAACACUCACAUGAAUUGAC